AUGACGUCCGAUUUUUCUAUAGAGCACUUCAGACAAUUUCUCGAGCUUUGGGCCACCAUCCGGGAUUUUCACCUACAGGAGGAUAUUGACGACGACAUUGUUUGGAAGCAUUCUACUAGUGGCCUCUACACGGCGGAGUCCGCCUACAAAGCGCAGUUUCUCGGCCUCAUUCGCUCUCCCUUGGAGCAUGCAGUAUGGAAAAUCUGGGCUCCACCCAAGGUCAAGUUCUUUGCUUGGCUGGCCAUCCAAAAUAGAGUCUGGACUGCGGAUCGAUUGGCCAAGCGCGGUUGGCCUAACUGUGGCUCAUGCCCCUUAUGCAUGCGUGAGAAUGAAUCGGUUGACCAUCUCUUCUUCAAAUGUCGUUUCACCAUUCGCCUAUGGGGCUUGGUCAAGGCGUGGCUGCAACUCAUUCACAUUGACACCUCUACUUGGCCCCUGAGGCAUUCCACCUUAGACUGGUGGCUUGGGUUAACUGAUGCUUCCGUCCCCAACCGGAAGGCCAUGGCCUCGCUCACCAUGCUCACUACAUGGACGAUCUGGAACGAGCGAAACGCCCGUGUAUUUCGCAACAUGGUCGAUCCGCCUACGGUUCUUCUCGACAACAUCAAAAGGGAGGCAUCAUUUUGGGUCGCCGCCGGAGCUAAGAAACUAGGGUCCAUUAUGCCGGGAAAGUGA
rnacentral:rRNA from 1 species